rnacentral:sRNA from 1 species
GGUAAUUCUAGAGCUAAUACAUGCAACUAAGCUCGGACCUUCGUGGAAAGAGCGCAUUUAUUAGAUCAAAACCAAUGGGAUAGGUGUUCGCACCUAUUCGUUGUUUGAUGACUCUGAAUAACUAAGCCGAUCGCACAGUCACGUACUGGCGACGUAUCUUUCAAAUGUCUGCCUUAUCAACUUUCGAUGGUAGGAUAUAUGCCUACCAUGGUUAUAACGGGUAACGGAGAAUAAGGGUUCGACUCCGGAGAGGGAGCCUGAGAAAUGGCUACCACAUCCAAGGAAGGCAGCAGGCGCGCAAAUUACCCAAUCCCAGUACGGGGAGGUAGUGACGAAAAAUAACGAGAUAGUCCACUUUGUGGCCUGUCAUCGGAAUGGGUACAAUUUAAAUCCUUUAACGAGGAUCCAUUAGAGGGCAAGUCUGGUGCCAGCAGCCGCGGUAAUUCCAGCUCUAAUAGCGUAUAUUAAAGUUGUUGUGGUUAAAACGCCCGUAGUUUGAUUUUUUCGGAUUCCGAUGGUUGGUGGGCUUGAGAGAGUUUCAACUGACCUAUCGGGGUCUGAAUUUGAGUUUGUCGGCGAUGCUCUUGAUUGAGUGUCGUCGGUGACUUGAGAGUUUACUUUGAAAAAAUUAGAGUGCUUAAAGCAAGCUUGAUGCUUGAAUAUAGUGCAUGGGAUAAUGGAAUAGGACUUCAGUUCUAUUUUGUUGGUUUUCGGAAUUGAAGUAAUGAUUAAGAGGAACAGACGGGGACAUUCGUAUUGUUGCGUUAGAGGUGAAAUUCUUGGAUCGCAGCAAGACGAACAACUGCGAAAGCAUUUGUCAAGAAUGUUUUCAUUAAUCAAGGACGAAAGUUAGAGGUUCGAAGGCGAUCAGAUACCGCCCUAGUUCUAACCGUAAACGAUGCCAACUGGCCAUUCGUCGGUGUUAAUUUAUGACUCGACGGGCAGCUUCCGGGAAACCAAAGUUUUCUGGUUCCGGGGGAAGUAUGGUUGCAAAGCUUAAACUUAAAGGAAUUGACGGAAGGGCACCACCAGGAGUGGAGCCUGCGGCUUAAUUUGACUCAACACGGGAAAACUCACCCGGCCAAGACACAAUAAGGAUUGACAGAUUGAUAGCUCUUUCUCGAUUUUGUGGGUGAAACGAUUCCGACUUCAACUCAAGCGUGAUUACCCGCUGAAUUUAAGCAUAUUAGUAAGCGGAGGAAAAGAAACUAACAAGGAUUUCCGUAGUAACGGCGAGUGAACUGGAAAUAGCCCAGCGCUGAAUCUCUUUACCAUCGGGUAUCGAGACCUGUGGCGUAUGUAUGAGUCUAUUUGGACGAUUCUGCUAUCGUAAGAGCCCUUGAUUGGGCCCCGAUACAGGGUGGAAGGCCCGUGACGAUAGUGGAUCGGUCGAAGCGAUUUAUACGAGAGUCGGGUUGCUUGAGAGUGCAGCCCAAAGUGGGUGGUAAAUUCCAUCUAAGGCUAAAUAUGACCACGAGACCGAUAGCAAACAAGUACCGUGAAGGAAAGAAUCACUAGUGAAUUCGCGGCCGCCUGCAGGUCGACCAUAU